UACAGAGGGGGCAAGCGUUGUUCGGAAUUACUGGGCGUAAAGGGCGCGUAGGCGGCCUGCUAAGUCGAACGUGAAAUCCCUGGGCUCAACCCAGGAACUGCGUCCGAUACUGGUUGGCUUGAAUCCGGGAGAGGGAUGUGGAAUUCCUGGUGUAGCGGUGAAAUGCGCAGAUAUCAGGAGGAACACCAAUGGCGAAGGCAGCACUCUGGGACGUGACUGACGCUGAGGAGCGAAAGCGUGGGGAGCGAACAGG
rnacentral:rRNA from 1 species